UGGGGAAUAUUGGACAAUGGGGGCAACCCUGAUCCAGCAAUGCCGCGUGUGUGAAGAAGGUCUUCGGAUUGUAAAGCACUUUCGACGGGGACGAUGAUGACGGUACCCGUAGAAGAAGCCCCGGCUAACUUCGUGCCAGCAGCCGCGGUAAUACGAAGGGGGCUAGCGUUGCUCGGAAUGACUGGGCGUAAAGGGCGUGUAGGCGGUUUACACAGUCAGAUGUGAAAUCCCCGGGCUUAACCUGGGAGCUGCAUUUGAUACGUGUAGACUAGAGUGUGAGAGAGGGUUGUGGAAUUCCCAGUGUAGAGGUGAAAUUCGUAGAUAUUGGGAAGAACACCGGUGGCGAAGGCGGCAACCUGGCUCAUGACUGACGCUGAGGCGCGAAAGCGUGGGGAGCAAACAGGAUUAGAUACCCUGGUAGUCCACGCUGUAAACGAUGUGUGCU
rnacentral:rRNA from 1 species